UGAUCCAAAAUUUUCCUUCAUGAUGCCUGGAACUGCCUUUGACAGGGAAGACCUGAGCGUAGAUUGUUCUAACCAGGCCUUCUGGAAAUGUGAUGAGCUCUCCUUCAGAGGUGAAAGACUCUGCCAGUGCUGCUGACUCUCUUAACAGCACUUGUGGGAGUACUUUAUUAUUCAGUUUAUUCAGAGCAUGAUAAACGUCCUAAAAAGUGUUGUUCUAAAUAAUGAGCUCAACCUCGACAAUGUGCAAAAGGCAGAAAUCAAAUCUUCAAAGAUAACCCACAAAGGUACUUGAAUGAGGAGUCACUUCAUUUAUUCUCACAGUGCCUUCUGAAAACAAAGCCAGCAGAUUAACAGGUGUGAUUGAUAUGUAAAUAUGGCCAAAAUUCAGGAAAUGCAGGAAGAAGGAUGAAGUGAAGAACUGUUCUUGACGGGAGAUUGAAUUAGAAAACAAUCAUGAGAUGUGAGCUUUCUUUUCUCCUGAAGGAAUGGGAGAUGAAGAUAAUAAAGGCCACAAGACUCACAGGUGGCAGAAAAUGAAAAUGGAAGUGUGCUGAUCUAAACUGGGAAGAGGCAGAGAGAGACAGAAAAAGGGAGUGUUCCCUAUUUAAUGAAGAAAAAUGGGAGGAAAGAGGAUGCAACUUCUUCAAGGGAGCUGCAGCUCAGAGCAUGAUGUGGCUUUUUGCAAACAGGUUGGUUUAGGUGAGUUAUUCCUGAAUUUGGGGAGUGUGCAGCUUUUGAUUUCUGCUUUAAAGUCACCCUGCCCCAGAGGAAUGGGGCACAGAUAUCAGCCAGCAGUGUCACAGGGUCCCUAAGGUACCUGCUCCUCCUCAAGCUGCCCUGCAGGAAAGUAGGAGAA